rnacentral:rRNA from 1 species
GCAUAUCAUUAGCGGAGUAAGAACCUACAGAUUCCCCUAGUAACCGGCGAGUGAAGCGGGAUGAGCUCAAAUUUAAAAUCUGGCUGGUUUACCAGUCCGAGUUGUAGUUUAAAGAAGCGUUUUCGGUGGCAGGCCGGGUAUAAAUCCUUUGGAACAGGGUAUCAUAGAGGGUGAGAAUCCCGUCUUUGACUCGGGCUGAUGUUACUAUGUGAUACGUUUUCAAAGAGUCGAGUUGUUUGGGAAUGCAGCUCAAAAUGGGUGGUAAAUUUCAUCUAAGGCUAAAUAUUGGCGAGAGACCGAUAGCGAACAAGUACCGUGAGGGAAAGAUGAAAAGAACUUUGAAAAGAGAGUUAAACAGUGCGUGAAAUUGUUGAAAGGGAAACGUUUGACACCAGCUAUGUAGGCGGAAAAUCAGUCAAGCGCAGUGAGGGGCUGGUGUUUGUCCGGACCGCAAGGCCGGCGGAUAUCUCAUCUUUGCUGUGGGUGAUGCACUUUUUCGUUCGCAGGUCAACAUCAGUUUCGCUUGCUGGACAAAACCCCGAGAGAAGGUAGCAGCUUUGGCUGUGUUAUAGCUCUGGGGCGAUACAGUGGGUGGGACUGAGGAUUCGCAGUGUGUGCUCUCGGGCAAGGCUGACUGGGUGCUCUGGGGUCGUUUGGCGUACAAUGCUUGCAUUUUGCGUCUUGUCUUCUUCAGACUCGCUUAGUUCGGCUCUUCCACGCUUAGGAUGUUGACUUAAUGGUUUUAAACGACCCGUCUUGAAACACGGACCAAGGAGUCUAACAUGCAUGCAAGUGUUUGGGUGGCAAACCCAUGCGCGUAAUGAAAGUGAACGUAGGUGCGAUCCGCAAGGUGCAGCAUCGACCGAUCUUGAUAUUUUUGGAUAGAUUUGAGUAAGAGCAUGUAUGCUGGGACCCGAAAGAUGGUGAACUAUGCCUGAAUAGGGUGAAGCCAGAGGAAACUCUGGUGGAGGCUCGUAGCGAUUCUGACGUGCAAAUCGAUCGUCAAAUUUGGGUAUAGGGGGCGAAAGACUAAUCGAACCAUCUAGUAGCUGGUUCCUGCCGA